rnacentral:tRNA from 1 species
GCUAUUUUGGCAGAAAAAGUGUAAUGAAUUUAGAAUUCAUAGAUGUGAUUGUAACACAAGUAGUA